CUCUAACUUUCUUUCUCCCUUCACUUUAUUCACAGAGAAAAGAUCCCAAAAAUCCCAUCAAAAAUCGUCAGAUUUGAAAAUCAAGAAUGAUAAAAGAAUGAAGAACCCCAUUUUUGUUUCCAUUUCCUUAUCCCUUUGUACUCAUGAUAAACAAAAACGAUGAUGACGGUGUAAGAGGAGAUACAAUAGUCAUAGAGAUCCAAAUCUAAGAAGUGGAUUUCGUUUUCUUCGUUAUAUUUACUAUGGAACCCUAGUUUUUGUGUUUAAUUUUUUCGCAGGUAACUGAAGUAUUAUUAUGUGUUACAUUAUUCUGUAGGUUAAGGAAAUCAAUUGUGAAGAAUAAACUGUUAUUGAAGUAGAUCAUGAUACCAUUGAUUUGCUUGUGCUUUGGGUACGGAUGUUAAUCAGCCUCUAUUUCUUAAAGAAAUUUUGUUCAAUUAAGCUGUUAAGAAUUGCGAGGAAUAAAAAGAAAGGAAAAUGUAAGCAUUUGGGUUUAUCGAGUUUGAAUCUCCUGAGGUUGCAAAGAUUGUUGUAGUCUGUAUGCAUUAAUUUAUCUGCUCUUUGAGCACUUGUUGCAAGUUCAUAUUAUUCAAACAGAAAAAGUUCAUCCUUAACUGUAAGCAGUUAUUUCCAUUUGCUUAGUACUUGUUACAAUAUAAAAGGUUGUACUAGAUCUGAAGCUUUUACCAUGUGCAUUGGGGAUACCUAAUACAAACUUAUCUAAUUUUUAUAUAACAAACCAUCUCAAGUCAUAUUUCUACCACAAUCCAUGAAUAGCAGAACUAAAGCAGAAUUCCCAAGAUAUUUUCAUUUCACUCUUACUUGUUUACGGGACAGAACAUCGGAAGAACAUAGAAAAUUGGUGGAGGGAAUCAUGAAGCGAGGAAAGAUAGGACGAUUGAAGAUAGAGGCUGUUGGUAUUAGUUACGAGUGCCCAGAAAUUGUAAGAAACAUAUUAUUUACUCUGCUAUUUUUUUCUGUUCUUUUGGCUUUUAUACUAAAAGGUUACUUCACUGAUCUAAUACUCUAUUUUCCCAUUGCAUGUUGAAAUGGUAUAUAUUUGGCCUGCCUCGAGUUACCUUUUUUUAUCACGUUUUGAUUUCUUGACUUCGUUUUGUGUCUCAGAAUCUGGACACCCUAUUCCAGCAACUUAUGCCAAAAUCGUCAUAGAAACAUUGGUUUUGGUAUUUGCUAGUUCAGUAUCCUUAAGUCAUGCAACCUACUGUUAGUCACCACUUCACUUUGUACAGAUUCAAUACGAAGUUUAUUAGUCCAAGUACCUUUUUUUUUUAGAAAAAGAGGAACACCUCAGAUAAUAUAUUGAAUUUGACCGAUAUUUCCAUAGUUGGAACUACGGAUUGUCAUUACAAUUUCAUUCCACUGUUGAAUGUUUAGAUAAGUUAAUAAAGCCCUUAGGCUAUGAUCCAUCCAGGUAUGUUUAAUUUCAUACUUGUUACAGAAAAAGAUAGUUUUGCUGCCCAUAUUACAUCAGUUCUUAAAACCAAGCUAAAGUCCUGAGCUAAGAAGUUGAUGGCAAUUUUUUUUGAGUUUCCAAAGUCUUCACUUAUCAAGUACCGCUGUCUUCGAGCUUUUGCGUACAUUCCUACCAGCAACACAAGAGUUGGUUCCGAGUCACUUCUGAAGGAUAUUUUGUGCCUACUCCAACAUGUUGCCCAUUGGAAAGCUGCUUCUGCUCCAGCUCUUUCUAUCUCCUCUAUUGUUGUAUUGUCAGUAGAGAAACCCCUUGCUUCUAUGACUAUACAUGUGUGAUCAACCAAAGUUAGACCAAUUCCUGCUUUCGAAUUAGAGUUCAUUACUGUCAGAGUUCAUUACUGUCAGAGCAAUAUUAAUUUUCAGAGCCAUAUUUCUUCC